UAUUCGGCCCCCUUGAACUUUGCAAACUUUUGCCACAUUUCAGGCUUCAAACAUAAAGAUAUAAAACUGUAUUUUUUUGUGAAGAAUCAACAACAAGUGGGACACAAUCAUGAAGUGGAACGACAUUUAUUGGAUAUUUCAAACUUUUUUAACAAAUCAAAAACUGAAAAAUUGGGCGUGCAAAAUUAUUCAGCCCCUUUACUUUCAGUGCAGCAAACUCUCUCCAGAAGUUCAGUGAGGAUCUCUGAAUGAUCCAAUGUUGACCUAAAUGACUAAUGAUGAUAAAUACAAUCCACCUGUGUGUAAUCAAGUCUCCGUAUAAAUGCACCUGCACUGUGAUAGUCUCAGAGGUCCGUUAAAAGCGCAGAGAGCAUCAUGAAGAACAAGGAACACACCAGGCAGGUCCGAGAUACUGUUGUGAAGAAGUUUAAAGCCGGAUUUGGAUACAAAUAGCCCGGGGAUAUCUACUAUAGAUGAAUGUCAUUGCAGGUUAUUGUUCAGGGCAUAUUAUUUUGCAGUGCUGAAGCCACAGAGCAGGGUGUAUUAUUUUGCAGUGCUGAACAGGGCACAUAGCCACAGAGCAGGGCGUAUUAUUUUGCAGUGCUGAAGCCACAGAGUAAGGCGUAUUAUUUUGCAGUGCUGAACAACCUUCUCAAAAUUCAAGGAAUAAGGAAAGACUUCAGAGAUUCAUUCUCUCUGUCUCUCUCUCUCUAUCUCUCUAUCUCUCUCUCUCUCUCUCUCUCUCUCUAUCUCUCUGUCUCUCUCUCUCUCUCUCUCUCUCUCUCUGUCUCUAUCUCUCUAAUUCAAAUAAUAAUAAUCAAGAUUAUUAACGGGAUAAUCAAUAACAUUCAUUUUAUGGCAGGCAGCAAUUUUGGGCUUCCGAGUGGCGCAGCGGUCUAAGGCGUCACUACAGACCCUGGUUCAAUUCCAGGCAGUAUCACAACUGACUGUGAUUGGGAGUCUCAAAGGGCGGAGCACAAUUGGCCCAGCGCUGUCCGGGUUUGGCCGUCAUUGUAAAUAAGAAUGUGUUCUUAACUGACUUGUCUCGUUAAAUAAAGGUUCAAUAUAAAAUACAAACGUAGUGUGCUGCCAACCCACAGCUCUCUGCGUCCUCCCCCAACAACCCACAGCUCUCUGCGUCCUCCCCCAACAACCCACAGCUCUCUGCGUCCUCCCCCAACAACCCACAGCUUUCUGCGUCCUCCCCCAACAACCCACAGCUCUCUGCGUCCUCGCCCAACAACCCACA
rnacentral:lncRNA from 13 species